rnacentral:tRNA from 1 species
UGUCCCGGUAGCUCAGCUGGACAGAGCAGCGGUCUUCUAAAUCGCAGGUCGGAGGUUCGAGUCCUCCCCGGGACGU